rnacentral:lncRNA from 1 species
AGGAAAUCAGCACAGUAUGCUAGUACUGCACUGAUCCUUCUUUGAUGGUUGAUCAGGUGCCUCCAUCUUCUUGAUUUGGACUCUUCCAAAGAUGAAAAGUAGAAGGAGGAGUUUCAGAUCUAAGACACUCUCAGGAAACUCAAGAUGGAGGGAGGAAAGAUAUGAAAACAAAAACCCUAGAAGAAGACCCUCUUCUUCUUCACGUUUUUCUCUCUAGACACCCAAACUUGCAUCUUUUAUAUCUCCAUGACCCAAAGGUAUUUCUCUCUAAUUUUUGGAUGGCACAAAGGUCUCUCAAAUAUUUGACUUUUCCUAAAAUUUUACUAAAAAACUCAUCUUAUAUAGAGAGAUAUGAUAGAGUCCUUAUCUAGGUCAAACACCUAGUCAAGGCUUAUCCAAACAUGGCAAGUUAAGGGACGCCCAACUCUUGAGCACCUCCUUCAUAUUUUCGUGCAUGGAUCACCAGAAAAGGGUGCACAAUGUAUAUCCUAAAAUCCACAAAAAUUCCAAAAAAAAUUUGGAUAAAUUUGGUGCAAAAUUGAAAGAGUUUUGGAUUUCUAAAACUCUAUCUCAUAGAAUUCAAAAUCCAAACUUAUUCCUUUUAGAUUUGAUCCAAACCACCUUCCAUGUAAGAAAGAAGAGAAGAGACCUUUUGUGAAUAUGGGAGAGAUCUGGGAGAGGGCUUUUGUCACACAAAAUAAGUGAAGAUUGGCAUUGAAUUAAGAGAGAGGGCAUGGAGAAGGCUUAUGUGGCGCAAGGUGGAAUCCUAGUCUUACUAGGAUUCUGUCUUAUGACUUGUUUUAAUUUGGUUUCCCAAACCAAAUCAAAUCAAAAUUAGAUCAACCCAAUUAAAAUAGGUCUUAAUCCAAU